UACAGAGGGUGCGAGCGUUGUUCGGAAUUAUUGGGCGUAAAGGGCGCGUAGGCGGCGCCACAAGUCACUUGUGAAAACUCUGGGCUCAACUCAGAGCCUGCAAGCGAAACUGUGGUGCUGGAGUAUGGGAGAGGUGCGUGGAAUUCCCGGUGCAGCGGUGAAAUGCGUAGAUAUCGGGAGGAACACCUGUGGCGAAAGCGGCGCACUGGACCAUAACUGACGCUGAGGCGCGAAAGCUAGGGGAGCAAACAGG
rnacentral:rRNA from 1 species